AAUGAACGCUAGCGGCAGGCUUAAUACAUGCAAGUCGAGGGACAGCACAGGUAGCAAUACUGGGUGGUAACCGGCAAACGGGUGCGGAACACGUACACAACCUUCCUUUAAGUGGGGGAUAGCCCAGAGAAGUUUGGAUUAAUACCCCGUAAUAUAGUUGAAUGGCAUCAUUUGAUUAUUAUAGCUACGGCGCUUAAUGAUGGGUGUGCGGCUGAUUAGAUAGUUGGCGGGAUAACGGCCCACCAAGUCUACGAUCAGUAGCUGAUGUGAGAGCAUGAUCAGCCACACGGGCACUGAGACCCGGGCCCGACUCCUACGGGAGGCAGCAGUAAGGAAUAUUGGUCAAUGGACGCAAGUCUGAACCAGCCAUGCCGCGUGAAGGAUUAAGGUCCUCUGGAUUGUAAACUUCUUUUAUUUGGGACGAAAAAGGGCCUUUCUAGGUCAACUGACGGUACCAGAUGAAUAAGCACCGGCUAACUCCGUGCCAGCCGCCGCCGUAAGAC
rnacentral:rRNA from 1 species